UUGGGAAUCUUGCACAAUGGGGGAAACCCUGAUGCAGCGACGCCGCGUGGAGGAAGAAGGAUCUAGGUCUGUAAACUCCUUUUGUCAGGAAAGACUUAGGACGGUACCUGACGAAUAAGCACCGGCUAACUACGUGCCAGCAGCCGCGGUAAGACGUAGGGUGCAAGCGUUGUACGGAUUUACUGGGCGUAAAGAGCGCGUAGGCGGCUUGUUAAGUGUGGUGUGAAGUCUCCAGGGCUCAACCCGGAC
rnacentral:rRNA from 2 species